UACGGGGGGGGCAAGCGUUGUUCGGAAUUACUGGGCGUAAAGGGCUCGUAGGUGGCCAACUAAGUCAGACGUGAAAUCCCUCGGCUUAACCGGGGAACUGCGUCUGAUACUGGAUGGCUUGAGUUCGGGAGAGGGAUGCGGAAUUCCGGGUGUAGUGGUGAAAUGCGUAGAGAUCCGGAGGAACCCCAGAGGCGAAGGCGGCCCCCUGGCUCGUACCUGACGCUCAGCCACGAAAGCAUGGGGGAGCGAACGGG
rnacentral:rRNA from 1 species